CCUGGGUCUGGGGGCGUGGCUGCUGAAAGGAAGCCAAAAUGUAGAGUCGGAGGGAGCUUUGGGCUGGAGAGUGGGAGCGUUCCAUGAAGUAGAGAGCGGGUUAAGAUUAGGGAAAGUGAAGUUCAGAAAGGGGGCCAAAGUAGAGAAGUAGGUCCAAGCGAGAUUUAGUAGAAGUCAAGGAGGUUUUUUGGUUUAUAAGGUAAAUAAACAAAAAACAACUUGACUCUGGCCCCCUUGUUACUGAAGGGCUGUGUGGGUGACAGAAGACAGAAAUAAAAAAGACGGAAUGUAAGCAGUAGUGGGUUAUUUGUCUGAUGAAUGAGACAGCUAAUAAAACUGGAGCCCAGCCCGGGUCCGAGAAAGAGGGGGCGAAGGAACAGAAGCCGGCGCCUCCAACCAGGCUCCGGGCCAGAAGAGCUCAACGCCCGGGGCCUCCCCUCCGGAUGGGGGCUGCUCCGGCCUAGUGCACGCAGCUGCCUCGGCGAAGGGUUAACCCGGCGCCCAGAGCCCCUGUCGGCUCGGAGGGCGGCGGAGAGGAAGGGCUGCUGCCAGGGGCGCAGCCGCGACUGUGGCGUGUACGUGGGGGGCAGGGGCUCCUACUCACCCGGGCCGGCCGCCUCCGCCUCCGCCGCCCCGACCGCCGCCUCGGCGGUCCAUCCCUGCGGCGGGGGGCCUGUAGCCGCGGCGCUCGAGUAACAACCGCCGGCCGGGCCGGCCCCUCCCCCCUGCCCAACGUCUGUCCUCAGGGCCGCUCCGCAGACCCGGCCUCGGCCGCCGCCGCCGCCGCCGCCGCCGCCGCCGCAGCGCUACGUGGCCGCCGCUCCGACGUCUCGCGACUCCCUUCCGAGCGCGCGAGGGCGAGCGGGGCUGGCGGGGCGGGCGGUGCGCGGGGAGGGAGGCAGGGGAGGGGGGGGGGUGUGCGUGUGUGGUUGUGUGUGCAGAGAGGGGGGCAGGGAGAGAGGGAGGGCGAGCAGCGGCGAGAGCGCGCGCGCGCCCGCGGCCCCUUCCCUUGCCGGCCCCCCCCCACCCGCCCAACAGGGAGCCCGACACCUCCCUCCGCCCGCCCCCCUGGCAUCCCGGCCGCUGGGCGCGGCGGCGCGCAUGCGCAGCCCUCGGGGCCGGCCCUGGCGCACCUUUUCUCCCCGCUGCCACAUUGUGAGCGCUUCGCCUCCCACACAACCGCCGACUCCCGCUCCACCCCCGCCUCCCCUACUCCGCCCACUGCCGAGCGCCCAGAGAGCAGUGGACAAGCAAGUCAAGUGGAAUAUGUAGUGUCUCGUCUUGGUUAGAUUGUUGGAGGACUUUUCUGCAAAUUAUAGUGGUUAAGCACUGACUCAACAUCCAACAACUGCAUAAGAGCUUCUUAGAGCCUUCGUUCAUGGACAAGUUUCAAAAUGAAACAGCGUCACCACCUCUCAUGGGCGAUGUAGUCAGAGAACAGAAGAGAGUGAAUUUCACCUUUAACAAAGUGGCUGCUUUCUGGAGAAGUGGCAGGAUCUGGUAUUUCCCAGCACGGUGAAAUUGGGAAGUGCCUUUUGCAGCCCUUCUCACUUUCAUGGUUUGUUUGGACAUGGAAUUCUUAAGCUCUUAAUUCCGUCCCUGCUUCCUGUGUCACUUCCCUAGGAGACUGAAUUCAAGGAGGGCGGGACCUCCUCCCCUGGGGCGGGGGGAGAACAGAAUGCGGACUGAUGCCUUUGGGCUCUUACCAUGUAGACAUCCUGUUGGCACAUUCUCCACUCCUCCCCAGCAAAGCAUGCUCUGCUCUGUGAAGAAUCCAGGCAGGAAGUAAAAGAGAUCUGUGCAGCCACAGUGGAAAUGCCCGGCCUCUCAGGAACCCCAGAUGGCCAUCCAGUCUGAUCACACAUCCCAUUCUGUUUUCAUUAUUAGUGUCCGUCCUGUCUGUUCAUGGGCUCCCCCAGGACAGGAGGCAUAUCUGCCCUAGUCACCAUCAGAGCCAUCUUAAUACAUCACAGUGCCUGGUACAGAGUGGCUGUUAGUAAAUAUUUGUUGAAUAAAUCAACUAUGAAUGUGGAAGUGGUUCUCUUAAAGAGCUCUUUGCUCUUUCUCAGCUACUGAGUUACAAGACGAGUGUGCUGGUGGUGAGAAGGGACACCUUUGGGUUAUAAUAAAAGGAGUUAGAAAUGUGUGGGAGGGCUCCUAAGUGUUCCAGUUGUAUCUACUAAGCAACAGGGAACCUCUGCGACUUCUUUAGGUCACCAACAGGAGAUGGCGAGCCGGUGGGGGCUGUGUUAUUGUUGUUGUUCAGUCGCCCAGUCGUGCCUGACUCUUUGCAGCCCCAUGGACUGUAGCACGCCAAGCCUCCCUGUCCCUUACCAUCUCCUGAAGUUUACCCAAGUUCAUGUCCAUUGCAUCAGUGAUGCCAUCCAGCCAUCUCAUCCUCUGACACCCUCUUCUUCUUCUGCCCUCAAUCUUGCCCAACCGUAGGUGACCCCUGGGAGUGGGGACUUUGCAAGCUGUAUUUGAUCUGGAAGAGGGUAGGAUCACCUGAAGAACAAGUACAUCUUCUUGAAGAAGUCUAAUCACAGUUGCAAGCUACAGAGAUGACUUUUGUGACUGAAGGGUGACUAUUUUAGCUAGGUAAGUGUCAAGAAAGUGGUAGGAAUUCUAGUGAGCCUUGCUCCUAAGUGAACUCAGAGCUGGCGGUGGGAACAGAAGCAAGCAAGUGCAGUCAUGGUCAAAAAUGGCCAAAGAGGAAGAUGCCUCGGGACUCAGCCCAGGAUCCUGGUAUUGCACUACAUGGAGGAGGGGGGACGAAACCAAGUAGGAAGAUUUGUCUUUAUUCUGAAGGCAGAGGCCAUGUCUUAAGAAUCAAAGCCACGGCUCAGAGCAGAGCACCUGACAUAUCAUAGCUGCUUAAUACAUGCUUGGUAGUGAAUGAAUCGGGCUUCCUAGGUGGCUCAAGUGGUAAAGAAUCUGCAUGCCAACCCACAGGAGACGCGGGUUCAAUCCCCAGGUCGGG
rnacentral:lncRNA from 1 species